GUAACACAUACAGAGCCACAGCUGCAAGAGCCAAGAACACCAUAGGCUUCCACAUCCCAAACAUGUUCUGUGGGGACCAAAGACAAAUGGAACUGUGUUGUAUACUCCUGAGACUGGACCUGGGCUCCUGCACCUCACUCUGGAAACAGAGGCAAGUGCCAACCCUGCUCCCUACUCCCUGGUUUUGUCUUUCCUGGCUUCUGGCAGCACAUCACGGCCUCCCUGGUGGAUGCAGAACACCCUGCUUGGCAUUAUGAGAGAUCCAGAAGAAGACACAGCCCUGUCCUUGAGGUGCUUACAAUCUAGUUGAAGAGAAGAGACAAGGUGGAAUACACACAAACUAAAGAAAAUUGGAGGUAAAAAAAAUACAACUCUACAGAAGUGCUCUAGGACAAAAGAGAACAGAAGUGGCAAAGGGGGGAAAAAUCAUUCAAGGAGUCUUGAUGAUCAGUAAAUCCCAGCAUAGUGGGCGUCUGAGAAAUGUCCAUCAGUGGCACAACACGCUGCCCAGCCUCUUGGGGUUCAGCCCCUGCUCUGUCCCUCUGACCAGGAGGAGGGCAACUGUACAGAGCUGGCAAUGAGCUCCUGUCUCUCUCCUCAGCCUCUCUGAAAGGGCUCCGACCUCCUCUGGCUCUAGGGACUCCUACCUGAAACCCUGCCUCCCUGAAAGC